rnacentral:rRNA from 2 species
AGUGAAGAAGGGUUUCGGCUCGUAAAACUCUGUUGUUAAAGAAGAACAUAUCUGAGAGUAACUGUUCAGGUAUUGACGGUAUUUAACCAGAAAGCCACGGCUAACUACGUGCCAGCAGCCGCGGUAAUACGUAGGUGGCAAGCGUUGUCCGGAUUUAUUGGGCGUAAAGCGAGCGCAGGCGGUUUUUUAAGUCUGAUGUGAAAGCCUUCGGCUCAACCGAAGAAGUGCAUCGGAAACUGGGAAACUUGAGUGCAGAAGAGGACAGUGGAACUCCAUGUGUAGCGGUGAAAUGCGUAGAUAUAUGGAAGAACACCAGUGGCGAAGGCGGCUGUCUGGUCUGUAACUGACGCUGAGGCUCGAAAGUAUGGGUAGCAAACAGGAUUAGAUACCCUGGUAGUCCAUACCGUAAACGAUGAAUGCUAAGUGUUGGAGGGUUUCCGCCCUUCAGUGCUGCAGCUAACGCAUUAAGCAUUCCGCCUGGGGAGUACGGCCGCAAGGCUGAAACUCAAAGGAAUUGACGGGGGCCCGCACAAGCGGUGGAGCAUGU